GCCACCCUAGCUCAGCUGGUAGAGCAGCUGAUUCGUAAUCAGCAGGUCGUCGGUUCGAAUCCGAUGGGUGGCU
rnacentral:tRNA from 1 species